rnacentral:rRNA from 1 species
AUACGGAGGGUGCAAGCGUUACUCGGAAUCACUGGGCGUAAAGCGCGCGCAGGCGGUCUUUUAAGUUGGAUGUGAAAGCCUACGGCUCAACCGUAGAACUGCAUCCAAAACUAUUAGACUAGAGUGUGGGAGAGGAAGAUGGAAUUAGUUGUGUAGGGGUAAAAUCCGUAGAGAUAACUAGGAAUACCAAAAGCGAAGGCAAUCUUCUGGAACACUACUGACGCUGAGGAACGAAAGCGUGGGGAGCAAACAGGAUUAGAAACCCUAGUAGUCC